rnacentral:rRNA from 1 species
CACCGCCGCGGUAAUACGAAGGGGGCUAGCGUUGUUCGGAUUUACUGGGCGUAAAGGGCGCGUAGGCGGACUGAUAAGUCAGGGGUGAAAUCCCAAGGCUCAACCUUGGAACUGCCUUUGAUACUGUUUGUCUUGAGUUCGAGAGAGGUAAGUGGAACUGCGAGUGUAGAGGUGAAAUUCGUAGAUAUUCGCAAGAACACCAGUGGCGAAGGCGGCUUACUGGCUCGAAACUGACGCUGAGGCGCGAAAGCGUGGGGAGCAAACAGGAUUAGAUACCCCGGUAGUCCCUGUCUCUUAUACA